AUGAAAAUACUAAGUUGGAACUGCCGUGGGAUAGGCGAUCCCGCGGCAGUUCGCGAACUCCACGAUCUCCUUGAGAUCAGCUCGCCAUCUAUCCUUUGUUUAGUAGAAACUCAGUUACAAAAGGCUCGUGUUGAGUCUUCGUUCUUCCUAGGUUUUGAUUUCAGUUUUGGCGUUGGUAGUACUGGUCGCAGUGGCGGCAUUUGUAUCUUCUGGAAAAACUCUCUUGGUGUUGCAAUAAAGAACUAUUCGGAAUAUCAUGUGGAUACCUGGGUUACUGAACCAGGCAGGGAAUAA
rnacentral:rRNA from 1 species